UACGUAGGUGGCAAGCGUUGUCCGGAUUUAUUGGGUUUAAAGGGUGCGUAGGCGGUCUUAUAAGUCAGUUGUGAAAUACGGCAGCUUAACUGUCGAGGUGCAAUUGAUACUGUAAGACUUGAGUACUGUUGAGGUAGGCGGAAUGGACGGUGUAGCGGUGGAAUGCGCAGAUAUCAGGAGGAACACCAAUAGCGAAGGCAGCUCGCUGGGACGGUAUUGACGCUAAGGCGCGAAAGCGUGGGGAGCAAACAGG
rnacentral:rRNA from 1 species